UACGGGGGGGGCAAGCGUUGUUCGGAAUUACUGGGCGUAAAGGGCUCGUAGGCGGCCAACUAAGUCAGACGUGAAAUCCCUCGGCUUAACCGGGGAACUGCAUCUGAUACUGGAUGGCUUGAGUUCGGGAGAGGGAUGCAGAAUUCCAGGUGUAGCGGUGAAAUGCGUAGAUAUCUGGAGGAAUACCGGUGGCGAAGGCGGCAUCCUGGACCGGCAUUGACGCUGAGGAGCGAAAGCCAGGGGAGCAAACGGG
rnacentral:rRNA from 1 species